GGUUUCCAGGAUAAUGUUACUGUGCUUUUAUAAGAAGGAGGAAUGUGGAAAAGAUCCUAAAAAGACAAAAUGAAGACAAAAUUUCUAAUAUAUCUGGUGGUAUAGAGAAUGGUGAUGAGGGUGUCCUCGUUCUGGGAAAUUUCCAUGGCUAUGACUUCAUUCCUGAUGACUCCCUGGGGUGGAAUGCCCUCAUUUCUCAGGCCUGGCCCUAGGAAAAUUCGGAAGUCAGCAGCAUAUGUUUUUAGCUUCCCUGUCGAAAGGUUCUAUGAGGGCUAAAAAGAAAUGGUUGUGGAAGGUGCCAGCUCCUCAGUUCCAAAUGAGUGGAGGAGACUCUCGUCCUGCCGCGGGACCCCCAGACUCCAUAAAGUCUGAGCAAAAUGACUUCAAGCUGCAUAAGAGGCAGUGUCCUAGGAAGUGUCCUAGCCUGAUGGUCUCGUUAUGUCAUUAGAAAGACUCAGUUGUCCCUUUAAAGUGGUGGCUUCUGACCCACAAUCUACACAUUGCUCAAAAGCCCUCAGAUUUCCUGGAAUUUCUACCAGAAUUUCUAGAACUCUAAGUAAUGGUCUUCAAAAAUCAGAAUUAUUGCAUAAGGAAGGGUUAAUCAUCAAGGAGAUAGAGAAGCUGCCCUGUUAUUAUUUCUGUUCUAGUUGGCAGUAUAUCUGGUGCUGAUUCUGGAAUCAGGCUGCCCAGAAGCAAAUCCUGCCUCCCAUCCACUUAAUCACUACAUGACCUUGGGCAAAUCAUUUAAUACUCUAUGCCCAAGUUAACUCAGUUAUAAAAUGGUGAUAAUAAUAGCAUUUACCUUUAUGAUUUUUGUGAUGAUUGAAUGAUGUCAUCCAUGUAAAAUAUUUGUCACAGUGCCUGGCAUAUACAAAAUAUUCAGUAAAUGGUAGCUUUUACAAUUAUUAACCCACUGCCAGUCAAUUCAGCAGAGUUUCUGAAUUCUGUAGAUUUUUAUAGAAUAUUUAUUUCAUUUCCUGAAGUGUUCUGACCUCCCCCUAACUCAUUUAUUUGCCUAAAAAAAUUGUGGGCUAGGUAGCUCAGUAAUAAUCUCAAUUUAAGGGGGAGGUAAGUGAGGUUGAGGUGUUAGGUAUUCUUUUAUUGUCCCAGUUAUCUUUAUUCUUGCCCAGGGAAGUGGUAAGAGACAAGUAUCUUUGUCCCCAUCCUUGUUCCAUAUACUCAGUUUACACGUCUGGAGGAAAGAGGCAGGGGCGUGGCAAGUACAAGAAAUAACUACCAUUUAAGUGUUGCAGGACAAUUUCCCAAGAAGCAUACUGAGAUUUCCAUGAAACAAUUUCACUGGAAAGUGCUCUCUGGGUCGACAGCUGUGGGGAAGGGAAGGAAGCAGGAACAGGCAGAGGGAAGAGUUGGGGUGGGAUUCAGAUGCAACAAAGGUCUUGGUUAUCCCACCAACUGACCAGUCACUGGGUGUGGGCCACCCCCAGUAAGGGGUGUGACCUGGGGCAAGGCUGCCAUCUUUGUUUGAGAACAAGUUUCAGGAUGGACACAGCUGUGAGCUUUCCGCUGUCACCACUCUGUGCUGAAGAUUUUGGGGGUGAUUUGGGUCUGUGACACAUCCAUGUCCACAACAUACAGCUUCUAUUGUGUGCCAGGCAUAGUGCUAUGGACCGUCAUGUACAUCACUUCAUUCAAACCUCACAAUGAACGUGAGGAAUAACUUAUGAAGACAGCUAUGAUACAUUUAGUGCCUAUAUGUCCGGAGGUUUACUUUACAAGCUUUUAGUUCAUGUAAUUUUUUUAACAGCUCAUCAAGGUUGGAAUUGUUUUGUGCAUCUGGUGGAAGGGAAAUUUCAGAAGAGAAAAUUGGAAGUUCUGAAAAGCCAAGUUAGUGCUCAGUACACGAACCCAGCUCUGUUUCAUAUUGGAGCCAGUGCCCAUCCCACUGGGCAGUACUGACCCAUUUUCCAGAUGAGGAACUUGAUGAUUAGAUUAGUGAAAUUAAAUGACUUUCCUGAAGUUCAGAGCUAGUUGAGGGCUGAGAUGGGGCUUGAA